GAAGUUUACUUCCAUACAGCAUGUAAUAAAUUUGAUCAUAUUGGUGUUAAACAACAGCAUUUUUGAAAAAAAUAAACAAAAGAAAGCAAACAUGCAAUCGAGAAAAUAAUAAAAAAUUAAAUAAUAAAUGUAAGUGUGAAAAGCCCACGCUAAAAAUGUUUACGCAGUAAUAUAAAAAAACCGGUCAACGGCUCGCUUGUGGCAAAGCGCCAUAGUGGCCCACAAGAGCACCUACCUGUUUGUACAUGUGGNCGUCAAAGCUUCGCACCCCCAAAUGUCACUCAAAGUGCUUAAAAAUGGAACAACUGCGUGGCACUUGCGCGCGGAGAAACCAAAAAAGUUGUAAAGAAACUGGNAUUACAAGAAAAUUACACAACAAAAACAAUUAAAAGAACACUCGAUCGACUACGUUGUAUAAAUGCGUAAACACAUACUGAAACAUAUGCGCCCAGUUGUUUCCAAAAAUAAAAAUAAAAAUACAUAUAUUCCCGCUUAUAUUGCGCGCAAAACAAAAGCACAUNAAAUAAUUAAAGAUAAAAACGAUAAGCAGUACACCUACGCACACCGCCCGCACACACACCGCCACCCACACUAGCCCAAAAAAAAAAUGCUGCGUAGCUGUGUGUGUUUGGGUCGUGGCGCGAAACGGCGCAGCUCCUCGCUAGAGGACACCUCGUCGUGUCGCUCGUCCGAAAUCGAACGUGUCGCCAAACGUAUGGAGACCAUGACCGUUUAUACGAAAACCACGACGACGUCAAAAACGACAACCACAACAACAAGUAAGCUGCAGCAGCAACAGCAGCUGUUGCAACAAAGCAACGACGGUGGACGCAGCACCACUUCCAGUCUAUUGCAGUUCUUCCAAUCGAAAACGUGGUACCGGCAUUGGCGCAAAACGGAACGCUCGAUGAGCAUGUCAAAGACCGAAAGAACUUUACGAGCAGCUUUGCUCAUCCAACGUUGGUAUCGAAGAUAUAGAGCGCGCAUGGAGGUGCGUCGCCGUUAUACAUGGACUAUAUUUACAAAUCUAGAAUAUGCCGGUGAAAAUGAUCAAGUGGAGUUAUAUAAUUUCUUCAAUGCACUGCUUACACACAUUCCCGAAGCUGCUGCNGCCCAACGCCCGUCACUGCAAAGGGACUCAGAGGUCUCAUUAGCUUCAGAUGUUUAUUUCGAUGAGUCAGAUUUCAAUGAGGAUGGCGAAUAUCGUUCCGACAAGAAUUAUGAUGGACCACAUUUAAAAUUUCCCUUAAUCAAGAAGGAUGUGGUGACGCUGAUUGAUGUGUUUCGCAAGAAAAAAUCUGAUCGCCUACUGGCCAAAUAUGUGGGUGGUAUACUAAAAGAGGCUGCAUUUAAAUUAAAACGACUUCCAAAUCUCAAUCAAGCAUCAACGGCGAUAUCCAAGCAGGUGACAGUUAUUGGAGAUUUGCAUGGAAAGCUGGAUGAUCUGCUGGUGAUUUUCUAUAAGAAUGGUCUUCCCUCAGUCGAAAACCCCUAUGUCUUUAACGGCGAUUUCGUGGAUCGCGGCAAAAAGGGUCUGGAGGUCUUCCUGCUGCUACUUGUCUGCUUUCUGGCCUUUCCCGGUGCCGUGCACUUGAAUCGCGGCAAUCACGAAGACUCUGUGAUGAAUGCGCGUUACGGUUUCAUACGCGAGGUGCAGCAGAAGUAUCGACGCAAUGCCGAUAAAUUAAUGAUAAUGAUUGAAGAAGUCUACCGCUGGCUGCCGCUGGGCACCAUCGUUAACAAUCGGGUGUUGAUUGUGCACGGCGGCAUAUCGGACACAACGGACUUGGAUAUGAUCAAGAGCAUCGACCGCGGCAAGUAUGUCUCCAUAUUGCGACCGCCCAUCGAGAUGGCUGGUGAGGACGGCAUCGAUAAAGUCGAAUGGAAACAGAUCUUCGACAUAAUGUGGAGCGACCCACAAAUUACCGAUGGCUGUAAGCCGAAUGCGCUACGUGGCGCUGGCACCUAUUUCGGUCCCGAUGUAACCAAACAAUUCCUGGAAAAAUAUAAAUUGAAGUUCCUUGUGCGUUCACACGAAUGUAAACCGGACGGACAUGAGUUCACACAUAAUAAACAGGUUAUCACAAUAUUCUCGGCAUCCAAUUACUAUGCCGUUGGUUCAAACAAGGGUGCCUACCUGAAGUUCGGUCCCCAGUUGGAUACACAAUUUGUGCAAUAUAUCUCAGCGGCAUCGAAGACUGCCAGACUAUCAUUCCAACAACGCAUAAGCAUUGUCGAGAGCUCAGCGCUGCGUGAAUUGGGUGCGCGUUUACGCGACCGACGUGUACAGCUCGAAGAGGAGUUUUCGAAAUUGGACCCAAAGAAUACUGGNGGCGUGACAGUCGCACAAUGGUCAGACACAAUGGAGCGUGUGACGCAAAUGUCUUUGCCAUGGCGUUUGAUGCGCGACAGAUUGGCACCGCCUUUUUCGCCGGACGAACCAAAUAUCGUUAACUAUCUGCUGACGUUGGAGCUGCUUGAAACGGAUGUUAUAGUUGAGGAAGCGGAGGCUUCUACAAGCGUCACCGAUGCUCUGUACAAAAAUAAGAGCAGCCUGGAAGCAAUAUUUCACAUACUGGACAAAGACCAUUCGGGUCAAAUAUCGUUGGAUGAGUUUGGUGACGCGGUGGAUUUGCUACGUAAAUACAUGCCAUCGGCUGGUUCGAAGAAAGAACUAAUGAAUAUGUGCCAAAUGAUGGACAUAAAUAAAGACGGUUUUGUGGAUCUCAACGAAUUUCUAGAGGCAUUCCGUCUCUGCGAUCAAGCGCGCAAAGCGCCACAACCCACAAAACCCAAGAUGGCACGACGCAAGUCAUUGUCAGAUUCAUUGCGCGUUGCCGAGCUCGCUGAACAACUUUCUGUGCAGAAAUUCGCAGAUACGGAAACCGACAUCGAUCCGCGAGAUCAUGCGUAAGUGAUACUCAGUGCAAAGCCCAAAAUAUAAACAAAGUGACGGACACAUACACACAUAUACUCAACGAAUGCUUUCCGCUGCAUGUACCAGAUUCUUACUCCGUCCAAACAACACUAUUUCUAAGUACUCUCAAUAAUUUAUUUGUUUAAAAAUAAAAUUAUUCAAUUAUAUAAGUAAA
rnacentral:misc_RNA from 1 species